CUUCUCUUCUCUUCUGAGUUUAUUUUUAUUUUACUCUCCUUUAGUUUCAGUAGUAGGAAGUAUUCCCCUGUGAGAGAAGGGACACUAGACAAUGCUCCUUGUCUGUCCAAGUGGGUCUAGAGAUUUGUUUGAGGUGGACAGGUGGUAGGCAUCGCAUGCUGUGCAGCCAUCAUCAAGCGUAUUGUCUUGGUGAAAAUUAUCUGCAGAUGGGUGUUGUUUUCCACUAGCUUAGUUUCUAGUUUAUUGUCGAGUUUGGCAUCCAGCCUAAUGUCUAUUAUUUCUUUAACCUUAGUUAUAAACUCUUAAAGACGCUAGUCUAUGUUUCAGAACGAGUCUUCCAUCUCUGAGAGCUGCGAAAAUCCAUUAUUGCUGCUUCUCCUUUGCUUUUUUCCAGUUUCAUGAUGGAGCAAGAUACCAAGCUUGGUUAGGUUAAGAGAAAGAGUUGGUUAGGGUAGAAGCGGAUAAGAGAGUAGAGAGGACAGUUCAGAGAGAUUAUCUUCUUGAAUAUGAUCUUCCUUACAGUAAUGUUGCCUAUUAGAACUAUUGGGAAAUAACUAAUCUUCCUUGGGACCCAACAACUGUUAUCCUAGCAAUUACCCAGUAUAGAGCAGUUAGAUUCCCUAAUACUCUUAAUGGUUAUAUUAACAAGAAAACAACAAAAAAGCAAUUAUUUAUCCUAUUCUUCCUAUGAUGAUAUCUCAAGCACUGACAAUUUUCCUCUUUCGGUAAUAGAAAUGUGAAAACGACAGCUAAUCAGGUUUAACUGCAGGAUGACUAUUGCUUGGCCCCCCUGGAUGUGGAAAGACUUCUCUUUUAAAGCCUCUGUCAGGAAAUCUAGACAAGUCCCUCAAGGUUCAGAACAUUCAGACUUCAUUCAUGAUUCACGGGUGAAAUCUCUUACAAUGGCUACAUGCUAGAGGAGUUUGUUCCCCAGAAACUUCUGCCUAUAUAAGUCAAUAUGACCUGCAAGUUGCUGAGAUGACUGUGAGGGUAACACUUGACUUCUCAGCUCGUUGUCAGGGGCUUGGAAGCCGAACAGAUGGUUUUUCGUAGAGUAUAACGUUUAUGGUGAUUUACCUGUGGUCAAUUAAUCAAUUCAUGGAAGUAAUAAAAUUUUUUUUCUCUGUGAAGACAUCAUGAUGGAGAUAAAGUAGAAGAGAGAACGAAAAAGGAAUAGUUCCAGAUCCAGACAGAUGCUUACAUGAAGCAAAUUCCCAAGUGGUGGCUUUGGUUGCAUUAUCUGGCUCCUACAUCAUGGACAUUAAAUGGGUUGCUCACUUCUCAGUAUGGUGACAUAGAGAAGGAGAUUUUGGUGUUUGGAGAAACCAAAUCUGUAGCUGCCUUCUUAGAAGAUCAAUUUGGGUUUCGCCACGACCACUCACCCAUUACAGCUGUUGUUCUUGCGUUGUUCCCUUUAGUUUUCGCUUCACUCUUUGCAUAUUGUAUAGGCUGAUUGGAUUGUCAAAGGAGGUGAACCUCUUUUUUCUUCUAAAGCAUACGAAUGUAACAUGUAGCUGAUCAAU